rnacentral:rRNA from 1 species
UACGAAGGGGGCUAGCGUUGCUCGGAAUCACUGGGCGUAAAGCGCACGUAGGCGGCUUUCUAAGUCAGGGGUGAAAUCCUGGAGCUCAACUCCAGAACUGCCUUUGAUACUGGGGAGCUCGAGUCCGGAAGAGGUGAGUGGAACUCCGAGUGUAGAGGUGAAAUUCGUAGAUAUUCGGAAGAACACCAGUGGCGAAGGCGGCUGACACUGGUCCGGUACUGACGCUGAGGUGCGAAAGCGUGGGGAGCAAACAGG